rnacentral:rRNA from 1 species
UACGAAGGGGGCUAGCGUUGUUCGGAAUUACUGGGCGUAAAGCGCACGUAGGCGGAUAUUUAAGUUGGGGGUGAAAUCCCCGGGCUCAACCCGGGAAUGGCCUUCAAGACUGUCGAGCUAGAGGACGAGAGAGGUGAGUGGAAUUCCCAGUGUAGAGGUGAAAUUCGUAGAUAUUGGGAAGAACACCGGUGGCGAAGGCGGCUCACUGGCUCGUUUCUGACGCUGAGGCGCGAAAGCGUGGGGAGCAAACAGG